AGUGAACGCUGGCGGCAGGCCUAACACAUGCAAGUCGAGCGGCAGCGCGGGGGCAACCCUGGCGGCGAGCGGCGGACGGGUGAGGAACACAUCGGAAUCUACCCUGUCGUGGGGGAUAACGUAGGGAAACUUACGCUAAUACCGCAUGAUCUGGAGACAGCAAAGCGGCGGACCGCAAGGCGUCGCGCGAUGGGAUGAGCCGAUGUCCGAUUAGCUAGUUGGCGGGGUAAGAGCCCACCAAGGCGACGAUCGGUAGCUGGUCUGAGAGGACGACCAGCCACACUGGAACUGAGACACGGUCCAGACUCCUACGGGAGGCAGCAGUGGGGAAUAUUGGACAAUGGGGGCAACCCUGAUCCAGCCAUGCCGCGUGGGUGAAGAAGGCCUUCGGGUUGUAGAGCCCUUUUGUUCGGGAAGAAAAGCUGCCGGUUAAUACCCGGUGGUGCUGACGGUACCGAAAGAAUAGGCACCGGCUAACUUCGUGCCAGCCGCCGCCGUAAAAC
rnacentral:rRNA from 1 species